GUUACGUAACCUCUGUUCCCAUAGUUCCAGUUGUUUUCUUCUUGUUUCCAGUCAGUGUUAAACUCCGUUAAUAGUCCAAUAAAUGCUUCUCCAGAACCUAAAGCCUCUGUCUGCUUCAAAUGGACAAUAGUCCAAGGGUUUUCACUUCUUUUUACGUCACAGACAGAAUUUGGUGAUGAUCGACCGCUAUUUUCACACAUUCAGCUCCGUUCAGCUUUGUCUCUAUAAUGUGUCCCUAUGA